rnacentral:rRNA from 1 species
UACGAAGGGGGCUAGCGUUGCUCGGAAUCACUGGGCGUAAAGGGUGCGUAGGCGGGUCUUUUAAGUCAGAGGUGAAAUCCUGGAGCUCAACUCCAGAACUGCCUUUGAUACUGAGGAUCUUGAGUUCGGGAGAGGUGAGUGGAACUGCGAGUGUAGAGGUGAAAUUCGUAGAUAUUCGCAAGAACACCAGUGGCGAAGGCGGCUUACUGGUCCGGUUCUGACGCUGAGGCGCGAAAGCGUGGGGAGCAAACAGG